UAUGAAGGGGGCUAGCGUUGUUCGGAAUCACUGGGCGUAAAGCGCACGUAGGCGGAUUUUUAAGUCAGGGGUGAAAUCCCGAGGCUCAACCUCGGAACUGCCUUUGAUACUGGAGAUCUUGAGUCCGGAAGAGGUAAGUGGAACUGCGAGUGUAGAGGUGAAAUUCGUAGAUAUUCGCAAGAACACCAGUGGCGAAGGCGGCUUACUGGUCCGGAACUGACGCUGAGGUGCGAAAGCGUGGGGAGCAAACAGG
rnacentral:rRNA from 1 species